rnacentral:rRNA from 1 species
GACGAACGCUGGCGGCGUGCUUAACACAUGCAAGUCGAACGGAAAGGCCCUGCUUUUGUGGGGUGCUCGAUUGGCGAACGGGUGAGUAACACGUGAGUAACCUGCCCUUGACUUUGGGAUAACUUCAGGAAACUGGGGCUAAUACCGGAUAGGAGCUCCUGCUGCAUGGUGGGGGUUGGAAAGUUUCGGCGGUUGGGGAUGGACUCGCGGCUUAUCAGCUUGUUGGUGGGGUAGUGGCUUACCAAGGCUUUGACGGGUAGCCGGCCUGAGAGGGUGACCGGCCACAUUGGGACUGAGAUACGGCCCAGACUCCUACGGGAGGCAGCAGUGGGGAAUAUUGCACAAUGGGCGGAAGCCUGAUGCAGCAACGCCGCGUGCGGGAUGCCGGCCUUCGGGUUGUAAACCGCUUUCGCCUGUGACGAAGCGUGAGUGACGGUAAUGGGUAAAGAAGCACCGGCUAACUACGUG